rnacentral:lncRNA from 1 species
UUCUCUUUUUCAAGACCACGCACAGCAAAAGAAACCCCACAUCUCUUUGGGUCGACGGCAGACGAUACCCCCUCCCCCUUCGAGUUAGCAGCCUCUUUUCCGGAUCAAAACGCGUGGAAUUAUGUGUGAUCUUGACUUGAUUGCUCAACUGUUAAACAAAGUAACUAGUCUUACCGAGCAAAACCAAGGUCGUUAGAUUAUAUGGAUUUGGAACUUGCUGUCUGAAGUAGCUGGAGUGGUCAUGGGUCGUGCUGAUUGGAUACGAAUGCUGAGUUUAUUGAUUACAUACAUUUAAUUU